rnacentral:tRNA from 1 species
UGGGCCGUAGCCAAGCGGUAAGGCACUAGGUUUUGGUCCUAGCAUGCGGGGGUUCGAAUCCCUCCGGCCCAA